rnacentral:rRNA from 1 species
UACAGGGGGGGCAAGCGUUGUUCGGAAUUACUGGGCGUAAAGGGUUCGUAGGUGGCCACUUAAGUCAGACGUGAAAUCCCUCAGCUUAACUGGGGAACUGCGUCUGAUACUGGGUGGCUUGAGUGCAGGAGAGGGAUGCGGAAUUCCAGGUGUAGCGGUGAAAUGCGUAGAUAUCUGGAGGAAUACCGGUGGCGAAGGCGGCAUCCUGGACCGGCAUUGACGCUGAACAGCGAAAGCUAGGGGAGCAAACGGG